UAAAAGGAUUCAUAACGCAGGGGAAGACGACGGGGGCGGCCGAGAAGAAAGGAGAGAAGGAAGAGAGGGCAUUUAGGGUUUCUUCGAUCUGAUCUGAGCCUCUUUCUGCCUCUCUCUCUCUCUCUCUCCCCCUUCACACCCUGUUCUCCCCCAUCAAUUCCCCUCUCGGGCAUCCACGUUCACGCUGUUUCGUUCAUAGGAGAGGAAGAUGGGGAGGGACACCAAGUUGACGCUGUCGAGAUGGGAGGUGGCUACGGCCGCUGGGGUGGUGGCGAGCUUCGGGAUGGGCUUGGUGGCCGUGUGCCUUUCGAUGCCUGCCUCCGACUACAGCUUCCUCAAAUUGCCUCGCACGCUCGAGGACAUCCAGGACUUGAGGGAUAAUCUUGAGAGUUACACAACUGACUACACCAUACAGGUUUUGGUUGGCUACUGUACUGUCUACAUCUUUAUGCAGACUUUCAUGAUUCCAGGGACCAUUUUUAUGUCCCUCCUUGCUGGAUCCCUGUUUGGAGUUUUGCAAGGUGUAGCUUUAGUUGUUUUUGCCGCUACAGCCGGUGCCUCUUCAUGUUAUUUCCUGUCAUAUUUGAUAGGGAAGCCCCUGGUCUUCUCCUUGUGGCCAGACAAGCUGAGUUACUUCCAAGAACAGGUUGCCCAAAGAAGAGAGAAGCUGUUGAACUACAUGCUCUUUCUCAGAGUCACCCCAACACUGCCAAACACUUUCAUCAAUGUUGCUUCACCCAUAGUGGAUGUGCCAUACCGCAUAUUCUUCAUGGCAACUUUCAUUGGACUCAUCCCAGCUGCUUACGUGACAGUCAGGGCUGGAAUUGCUCUUGGGGAGUUGAGAUCUGUGGCAGACCUUUAUGAUUUCCAAGCAAUAGCGACACUGUUCCUUAUAGGGAUUGUUUCAGUGACACCCACACUGAUAAGCAAAAAUCAUACGGUAGAGAAUGCUUAGGAAAGAACUUAAAGCUGACAAUGGUUAUGGAGGUACUCGUGCUCAUCGCUUCUGCUACAGCUGAUUCUUCCUACUCUUGCCACACACGUAGUUGCCGGACCGACCAAACUGACCUAAAGUUUCCGAAAAAAUGGCAGGCUUAAUUUGGUGUCAUCUUUAGACUUCUCCGUGUUUGUUCUUCUUCUCCUAUGCGGUCAACGCAACGCUUGCAAGAUUGAUAUGCUUCCGGUGAGUCUGCUGCAUUAACUCGUGUUAUCAGAGUCACGAGAAAAGUCGAGUGAGAAAUUUAGUGCUCCUUUUGAAUUGCCACGAAGGAUGAGUUUUCUAUCCAUAAACAUUUCUCUUCUCAACCUUCAAUCAGUCUUUGUGCAUAUAUGAAAGCCAAGGCUAUAGGUAUUCGCUACUCUUCUUAUAUAAAUGGUUGGUCACAUGUGCUACAAACUA